AACCUCUGCCCCAGCCGCUGACACUUCUGCUCCCACGUGGCACUUUCAUUGCCUUCAACUCUCCACAAUUCCCACACCACAGCCUCCCACGGGGAGGAAGGAGACACUGGAACACUCAAUCCCAGCCACUUCACCUCAGCUGAGCUCACUCGAGGCACAGGAGGAAACAUGCACUUGGACACAUGCACAGACAACAAACACCACUGGAAAUCUUAAAUGGGCUUCAAAAGGGUGAGGAAGGUAAUUGCUCAUGUCAUAAACCCCAUGGACAACUGAGAAAACCUCAGAACCUCAGCUAGAGCAAUGUGCAUAAUUCCACACCACUGCUCCCAGCAGUAUCCAGCAGCUUUCCCCAGCCUGGAUCACCACUGCUCAGUUUCUGCCCCACUGCUGGGGCAGGAACAACCACGUCUUGGCUUAUCUGAGAUCCCUGCAGCAGAUUCCUCCCAAGGCACAGGAAUAAUCCCCAGCUAAAUGCAAAGCAGUAGAAAGACGAGUGAUGGAAGGAAAGAGCUGAUACGAACUGCACGCAGCAUUAGCAUGAGAACUGCAAGAAAGAAAGGGCUGGGAAGAGUCACGGCAAGGGCAGAGAUGGCCCUGGGAAUCAGCGCUCGGAGAUACCUGGGCUGCAGCGGCUCGUCCCCGCUCCGCGGCUCUGCUGCAGCACCUCCGGCACCUGGAGCUCAUAAACCACAAGGGUGAGUCUGUGCAAGGACCGGCUCCCCUGGGAGCUUGGAUUUAACGGGAGCCCGGUCCCUCCCACCUGGGCCGAGCUUCGCCGCCCCUCCGUGCCCCGCAGGUGUGGUGCGAGAGGGAAGAGCCAGACGGGCUGUGGGGCAGAGCAGGGCUGGAGAGGAGCCAGGCUGCAGAGGGGCCGGGCUGCCCCCGGGCACGGCAGGGCUGCAGGCAGAGCUGCAAGCAGAGCUGCCAGCCAGGGACACAGCUGGAGCACAGCGAGGAAAGCCGCUCGGGACAGGGAGAAAGCAGAGGGAAAUGAGGAGCGAGAGACUGGGGGAGAGCACUCUGCUCACAGCUGGGGAUGGCCAAGGAAAACUGGAGUGGCCACAGGACAGGCUGGAGGAAGAACAAGAGAGGCAGAGAGCCACAGAGUCCCUCCUGCAGGGCUGCAAAUGUGUGGCUCCUUGUUUCUGGGAUUUGAGCAAAAUAAACACCCAGACACUGCCGAGGGACCCAACAUAAAAGAACAUUUUCAGAGGAACAAAUAUUGGUUAUGAAUAAGACUUGGGAGUGUUUCCCUGGAAUGCACCU
rnacentral:lncRNA from 1 species